GACGAACGCUGGCGGCGUGCCUAAUACAUGCAAGUUGAGCGCUGAAGGUUGGUACUUGUACCAACUGGAUGAGCAGCGCACGGGUGAGUAACGCGUGGGGAAUCUGCCUUUGAGCGGGGGACAACAUUUGGAAACGAAUGCUAAUACCGCAUAAAAACUUUAAACACAAGUUUUAAGUUUGAAAGAUGCAAUUGCAUCACUCAAAGAUGAUCCCGCGUUGUAUUAGCUAGUUGGUGAGGUAAAGGCUCACCAAGGCGAUGAUACAUAGCCGACCUGAGAGGGUGAUCGGCCACAUUGGGACUGAGACACGGCCCAAACUCCUACGGGAGGCAGCAGUAGGGAAUCUUCGGCAAUGGACGAAAGUCUGACCGAGCAACGCCGCGUGAGUGAAGAAGGGUUUCGGAUCGUAAAACUCUGUUGGUAGAGAAGAACGUUGGUGAGAGUGGAAAGCUCAUCAAGUGACGGUAACUACCCAGAAAGGGACGGCUAACUACGUG
rnacentral:rRNA from 1 species